rnacentral:tRNA from 1 species
UGUGGGUCACGGGCUGGCGCGGCGCGGGUCGCACGGGUUGGAAACCCGUGCAAACAGACACCGGUUGGAAACCGGUGCCACACGG